ACGGGUGAGUAAUACAUCGGAACGUGCCCGAUCGUGGGGGAUAACGGAGCGAAAGCUUUGCUAAUACCGCAUACGAUCUACGGAUGAAAGCAGGGGACCGCAAGGCCUUGCGCGGACGGAGCGGCCGAUGGCAGAUUAGGUAGUUGGUGGGAUAAAAGCUUACCAAGCCGACGAUCUGUAGCUGGUCUGAGAGGACGACCAGCCACACUGGGACUGAGACACGGCCCAGACUCCUACGGGAGGCAGCAGUGGGGAAUUUUGGACAAUGGGCGAAAGCCUGAUCCAGCCAUGCCGCGUGCAGGAUGAAGGCCUUCGGGUUGUAAACUGCUUUUGUACGGAACGAAAAGCCUCUUUCUAAUAAAAAGAGGUCAUGACGGUACCGUAAGAAUAAGCACCGGCUAACUACGUGCCAGCAGCCGCGGUAAUACGUAGGGUGCGAGCGUUAAUCGGAAUUACUGGGCGUAAAGCGUGCGCAGGCGGUGAUGUAAGACAGAUGUGAAAUCCCCGGGCUCAACCUGGGAACUGCAUUUGUGACUGCAUCGCUGGAGUGCGGCAGAGGGGGAUGGAAUUCCGCGUGUAGCAGUGAA
rnacentral:rRNA from 1 species